AUGGGCUCACUGGCCAUUUGUGAUGUCUGAGGGAGGAGGUUGUGAGCUCUGGGAAGGUUUUGGACCUUCUGGAUUUUUUUAUUUUCAUCUUAAAUCUAGAGUUCAGUAUCUCAUCUGGAGACAUGAUGGGUUUCGGCCCCUUCCUGUGUCUCUUCCUGUGGUCUCACUUCACCCAGUGCCUUUUUCUCUGAGCUUUAGUUUCUCUAUUUAGGAAGGAGCUAGAAAACAAGGUGGGCAUGGGGUAAAAUCAUGGGGAACUUCGGGAGAGCCUUUGUCUCUGCAAGGGAACCCCUUUAUGCCAGCAAGGAUUCUCACUGCUAAUGACUACUGCCAAGAUGUAUAAAUGGAAUGGUUCAGUCAGGAGAAGAAUCUGAAGUUUAAAAUGCCUCUUCCUCUAUGACAACUUUUCUUUGAUUUCAUGAUUGAGUUGGGACAGAAACUGCAUGUGGGAAAACUGAUCCUUCAACCAGUGCAGAUGAGCACAGUGAGCAGCUGGCUUCUUUGAAUCCUUUAUCUUCAAAUCCAGAAACCUCGAUUAUUUGGGAAAAAGAGUUAAAACUGAUGAAACUGAAUAUUAAACUCUGGAGUUCUUAAAGUUAGAUGUUUUGUCUUUAUAGUGUAUGGAUAUGUUAAUGAAACAACUUCAGUUUUGUAAUUUGCAAAGAGCUGAAGUUAUUGAUGUCAAUAGUUGCAAAGGGGAUAGUAAUCCCUGUUCAUAUGGCAGGGGUUUGUCUUGGGAAACCCUUUAAAUCACAGAAGAAAGUACAGUUAGUUCCAUGAGAAAUGGAUGUAAUGACGCUAUGAUUCCUAGUUUCUUUAUCUCAUGGGAUUUUUAUUGGAUUUCAGAGCAUGAAGUCUACUUAACAAAGUGUUUUAUUUCAAUGUGUAUAUAAAUACAUAUAAAGUUUGCAUUUUCAUUGUAUGCAAUUGGUUUUUUAGAAAUACUUAGUAGAUAACUCAUUGAGGAGAAGAAGUACUGUAUACUUCAAAUUCUAAACUAUGACAGCUACUUUCAGGGGUACAACAGUGUCAUUUAUUUCUAGAGGAGCUUUUGGGAUGCAGGUCAAGGCAAAAAUAAACUGAAAGUCACAGACACACUUGGGCAGUAAAUGUUCCAUGAUCAGAUUCAAGAUAAUAAAAGGAGGUGUUACUUUGUCUAAAGAAAUCCAGAGAAUGAAUGAGUCACCCUAAGGAUUGGUUUUAUAUCUUUAUUGAUAUCAAUAGUAUGUGACUGUCUUUACAAAAGUUGUCCUAUAUGCAGAAACCAAGAUGGGCACUGGAGUCUUUCUGGAAUCUUGCUUGAAUCAAUUGAAUAAAAUAUUCAUGAAGAUG